ACUGUGAUCAAAGAGGGGGACCGCAAGGCCUCUCGCUUAGGGAUGAGCUCGUGUCCUAUCAGCUAGUUGGUGAGGUAACGGCUCACCAAGGCUUUUGACGGGUAGCUGGUCUGAGAGGAUGGUCAGCCACAUUGGGACUGAGACACUGCCCAGACUCCUACGGGAGGCUGCAGUCGAGGAUCUUUUGCAAUGCCCGCAAGGGUGACAAUGCGACGCCGCGUGUGUGAUGAAGGUCUUCGGAUCGUAAAGCACUGUCGGCCGGGAUGAAUCUCUGGAGGUAGAAUAUACCUGCAGGGUGACAGUACCGGCAAAGGAAGCCACGGCUAACUCCGUGCCAGCAGCCGCGGUAAUACGGAGGUGGCAGGCGUUACUCGGAUUGAUUGGGUGUAAAGGGUGUGUAGGUGGUAAAUUAAGUCGAAUGUGAAAUCCCUUGGCUUAACCAAGGAACUGCAUUCGAUACUGAUUUGCUUGAGCGUCAGAGAGGAAGAUGGAAUUCACGGUGUAACAGUGAAAUGUGUAGAUAUCGUGAGGAACACCAGUGGCGAAGGCGAUCUUCUGGCUGACUGCUGACACUGAAACACGAGAGCAAGGGGAGCAAACAGGAUUAGAUACCCUGGUAGUCCUUGCCGUAAACGAUGUUCACUAGGUGUCGGGCCCUCUGGGCUCGGUGCCGCCGUA
rnacentral:rRNA from 1 species